GACUGCAGGCUCCAUUGUGCUCGCGAGCGGGGCACGCCGGGAUAUGUAGUUUCCGGCCCCUGCCCUCCGGGAGGUCCUGUGCUGCCUACUUCACAGUGACUUGUCUCUGCCUGGUGAACUCGCGGUGUUCUGCUAAUCUUGGAAAAAUCAAGUCCCUCUUCGUCCUCGUCCAUGAUGGCCACAUGGAGAGUAAAACACAGAAAUCUGUUUUCUGGUCUUUCGUCUCUUCAGCAUAAAUUAUUUCUUGCCCUGUCUACAAGUUAAUAGCGGAGCCUCAAUGUGAGAUGCAGAGACUGCCCAUCAAACCACAGCCAUAUUCAUCAAGCUUUGAGCCGAUCCGGUGAAGGAGAAAUGAGCACUGCAUACAUUAUUCAGAGAAAGGGACCAAAUAAAGCUUUUAAUAGGAAAUGAAAAUGUAUUUUAAAGCGUCGGUGCAAACAGCCAAUUAUUUUCAUUAUGUAUGUUUUAUCUUGCAAUGACCUCUGGUUUAUCAGUGGAAUUAAGAGAUGAGUGAUACAUGUAUCCACGUGUUUUUGUGUAAUGAGAGUUUUCACCUUCUCCUCAAAUCUCCAUAUUAAGCAGCAGUCAGGGAACCAAACUGAUUAAAUUCGUGUUUUUCAUUUGUUUUCCCUUAUUCACUGUCUGGCAAACCGUAUAAGAACUUAAGCAAUUACAAAGUUAGAGAAAAGGACCUGAAGUCUUCAAUAAACUUGAAAUCAGGGAGUAUAGUCCUCCACCUUUAUCCUUUUUCAAA